CCUACGGGAGGCAGCAGUGGGGAAUAUUGCGCAAUGGGGGAAACCCUGAUGCAGCGACGCCGCGUGAGUGAAGAAGUACUUCGUUAUGUAAAGCUCUAUCAGCAGGGAAGAAAAUGACGUUAGCUGAUUAAGAAGCCACUGCUAACUACGUGCCAGCAGCCGCGGGAAUACGUAGGGGGCAAGCGUUAUCCGGUGUUACUGGGUGUAAAGGGAGCGUAGACGGCAGUGCAAGUCUGGCGUGAAAGGCGGGGGCUCAACCCCGGGACUGCUUUGGAAACUGGACGACUGGAGUGCAGGAGAGGAUAGUGGAAUUCCAAGUGUAGCAGUGAAAUGCGUAGAUAUUAGGAGGAACACCAGUGGCGAAGGCGACUUACUGGAAUGUAACUGACGUUGAGGAGCGAAAGCGUGGGUAGCAAACAGGAUUAGAUACCCGUGUAGUC
rnacentral:rRNA from 1 species